rnacentral:rRNA from 1 species
UACGUAGGUGGCAAGCGUUGUCCGGAUUUACUGGGCGUAAAGAGUGCGUAGGCGGUUCGUUAAGUCAGCUGUGAAAGCCCCGGGCUCAACCUGGGAACUGCGGUUGAAACUGGCGAACUAGAAUCUGGCAGAGGGGGGUGGAAUUCCACGUGUAGCAGUGAAAUGCGUAGAGAUGUGGAGGAACACCGAUGGCGAAGGCAGCCCCCUGGGCUGAGAUUGACGCUCAGGCACGAAAGCGUGGGGAGCAAACAGG